UUUUUUAAAACUGGGCUUUUUUUGUUUCAUGUAUUCCUCCAAACCCUAAUCUUCUCCCUAAAAUAUUCAGCCGUUUCUCAAUCUAUUUUUUUCCUCUCAGUCAAUUGUAAGAUGCUUCUCCUACAUCAAAGAUCUAUUUUUUUCUACUCUUCACCUUCAUCGCAAUCUAACAGGUAUUUGGAGGUUCGAUUUCUGUUGAUUUACUUCGAUUUAUUUGGGGUAAAAUCAUUGCAAGCUUGUGUUCCACAUAUAAGAUAUAUUCUCAUUAGCCCACGUAAGUUCAAUAAGCGGAGCAUCCAACUUCAUUCGUCACCGGAAACUUCAAAUUUCAGUGUUAUUUUCAUCCAUGGCCCCUGUUAACAACAAUGAUGAACACCCACCAAAAUUCAAAGUCAAAGAAUCAUCGGAAGUGGCAAUUGGGGCAGUGUUGCUUCCAAACUCAUUGCCUCCAACACGUUAAAGCUCUCAUCUUUUCAUGAUGAAGUGAAGAUGUCGGUGGAGAUGUGGGUGUUUGAAUAAAUAUUGCCUUGUGGUGAAAAACUCACAGAUGCCAUUAAUCGAACCAAUGAAAAUGUGAAAUAUUUACUGGGGAUUAAGCUUGGGCAUAAUGUUGUUGCUGGCCCAGAUCUUGAAAAUGCCGGUAUCGUUUGGUAACAACUUUUAUUCUAGGAAUGAAAAAAGAAGCGUAUUUCUUCCAUAUUUACAGGAAUUUUAAUAAAAUCUACAUGUAUAAUAUUUCUAAAAUUUUCUUCUACUGUAUCGCUAGAAAUGAAAUAGCACCCGCUAUUUCAUGGCCAUCGCUGAUAGGUGAUUUAAAUGUGUAUCUAUAGUAUUGUUGAGAAUUCCGUAGUUCCUUAUAAUUCGAGCACAUCAUUUGAGUUUAUGUUGAUCAACUUUCAGCUUGGAUAAAGUAUGCCACUGUUGACUCUAAUAGAUUUACUGCAAUGGCUAUUAGCAACAUUGCUUUAGCUGAUAUAGGUGUUCCUAAAUCAUUCUUAGAAUCAUUUCCAAAGGUAUCAUUUGAUGAACUGGUUGACUCUAAGCAUUUUCUUAAACCUUGCGAAUAAAUCAACCAAAAAGUCAAGGUUGAAUUUGGUGUUAUUAUUGAUAAUACAUUCAUUCUUUGCAGAAUGUAAAAGGUAGCUUGGGUGUUCUUAUUCAUUGAUAUAUUUGUUGGAAAAAUAUUGUCAGAAGCAUUUAUGGGUCAGAUGAUACACUCCAGCAGGUUAGAUGUUUAUAUACAUGAUUAUUUGGUAACGAGAGAUUUGAAAGCUUCUGCUCAGGCAUUUCAAGCUGAAGGAAAAGUCUCAUCUGACCCUGUUGCUAUUGACGCCACCGGUGACUUUCUUUUUGACUUUGCAUCAACAUGCUAUUUAUAAAGACUACCACAACUCUCAUAUUUCAACAUCCAAAAUUACAUUCUUGCAUUUUACUAUUUUGCUUGUCAAACUCUCAACUCAUGGAGCACGGGACUUGGAUUUGGCUCGUCGUGUUUACACUGUGAAGGUUCGUAUACUCCGGUUAUGGAAGCAACCCAUGUAUAACAAUCCAAAAUAGUUUUACUCGAUCGAAAUGAUUGUGGUUGACGAACAGGGAACAAAGAUGCAAGCCAAUGUUAUCCGAAGAUGGUUUCCCAAGUUUGAGCAUCUUUUAAAUGAAUUAGGUAACAUGUUUCAAGAGUUACAAGACGAGAUGGCCUCAAAGUUGUUAUGCUAGAUAGUGAUGGUAAUCUUUCAAAUACAACAUCAAAUGUUUUAUACAACGAAGUUUUUAGAAAUUUGUAACGUAUGUUUAUAUAUUUUUUUGCACAUCUUU